AUUGAACGCUGGCGGCAGGCUUAACACAUGCAAGUCGAACGAGUGGCGGACGGGUGAGUAAUGCUUGGGAAUCUAGCUUAUGGAGGGGGAUAACUACGGGAAACUGUAGCUAAUACCGCGUACCAUAGGAUGAGCCCAAUUGGGAUUAGGUAGUUGGUGAGGUAAAGGCUCCCAAAGCCGACGAUCUCUAGCUGGUCUGAGAGGAGUACCAGCCACACUGGGACUGAGACACGGCCCAGACCCCUCCGGGAGGCAGCAGUGGGGAAUAUUGCGCAAUGGGGGCAACCUGACGCAGCCAUGCCGCGUGAAUGAAGAAGGCCUUCGGGUUGUAAAGUUCUUUCGAUAGCGAGGCGUUAACUACAGAAGAAGCACCGGCUAACUCCGUGCCAGCAGCCGCGGUAAUAC
rnacentral:rRNA from 1 species